CAGUAGCCGCGGUAAUACGGAGGGUGCAAGCGUUAAUCGGAAUUACUGGGCGUAAAGCGCACGCAGGCGGUCUGACAAGUCAGAUGUGAAAUCCCCGGGCUUAACCUGGGAACUGCAUUUGAAACUGUCAGGCUGGAGUCUUGUAGAGGGGGGUGGAAUUCCAGGUGUAGCGGUGAAAUGCGUAGAGAUCUGGAGGAAUACCAGUGGCGAAGGCGGCCCCCUGGACAAAGACUGACGCUCAGGUGCGAAAGCGUGGGGAGCAAACAGGAUUAGAUACCCGCGUAGUCCCUGUCUCUUAUAC
rnacentral:rRNA from 1 species